CAGCUGACGAGUCCCAAAUAGGACGAAACGCGCGUCCUGGAU
rfam:Schistosoma rodhaini strain Burundi genome assembly, scaffold: SROB_scaffold0008688